rnacentral:lncRNA from 1 species
UACUUGUGACCUAGCUACAUACCAUCUGUAUCAUCCAAUCUUUCCGAAGGUUCAACCGAGAUUUCUCUCUCUUUCUAAUACUUGAUUCCAUACUUCCAAUAGUCAAUUAUGAUUCAAAAAUCAGCUACAAUACAUAAAAUAUGCUGAAAUACAAAAACAUAAUAAAGAUAAUGUAUUAUUUUCAUACAAACUUACAUACUUUCUCAUUUCCAUGUCGAAUUAAUAUUGAACAUUUAAAUCAUCAUAAUUAUACUUACUUUCAAAACCUCGGCAAUCAUUGUAAAUAUGUUAAUUUUACAUUGAAACAUGCAUAAAUUAAUGCUUAUUAUACAUAUGACCUUACCUCGAUGCUAAAACGAUCAUUUUACCAACUUUCAUGAUUUUUGAUUUUUCUCCCAUUCUAGAUUCAAAUCUCAUUUUUCGGGAUCUAAAACAUCAUAUUUUACUUAUUUAGUUAAUGUACUAUUCAAGACAGUCCUUAACUCAAACUUUGGAAAAAUUACAAUUUUGACCCUAAACUUUUGCAUAUUUACACUUUUGCCCCUAGGCUCGUGAAUUAAAAUUCAACCCUUAUUCUUAUGUUUUAUGACAUGCUGAUCAUUUUUUCCUUCUAUAGCAACAUCAAAUUCUCACUCUAACACAUAGUUAUGAACAAUAACAACUUUUACCGAUUAAGCCGUUUUACUCAUUUUUGCUUAAAACCGCUUAGCAAAAGUUGUUUAACAUAAUUUCAGCCUUCAUAUUCUACCAUAAAACAUCAAAAUAAACACAUUUCACCUAUGGGUAUUUUUCCAAAUAUGAACCCUAGCUUUUUAGGAACAUGGUUCGACUUUGGUUGAGCAAGUUUUGGGUUUAGUGAUUACGGUUUGUAAAUGAGAACUGUACUAAUCAAUUGUAGGACAUCGAAAGGGAUCUCGGUAGCAGUCGUCGCGAAUCAGGUGUGUACCGAACACCCUUUCUUAGUUCAAUUCGGUAAAAGCCGAAAUGCCGAAAUUCUGGCAUUUCAUGGGCUUGUGAGUAUGCGAAUGAUCUCGAGACAUAGAGUAAUUGUUAGACCUAGCACCGCAAGGUGGUAAGUAAGUUUGUGUGACGUCUUAACGUACUUCGGAAAAAGAGGGCCUCGAUGGGCCAAAAACUGGGCCCAAUGGGCUUACGGACCAAUAUGGGUAAGAGAUGGGCAAAUUAGCCUGUUAGUUAGAUGGUGGAACCAAACUGCAUAAAACUGUUGAAAAUUACUGAAGUAGCUUGUGUAGUUGCUAAGUUACGAGAAUUACCCCUAAAGAGUAAAAUUACCGAUAUACCCUUAGGGUUUAAAUUGGCUAAACUGCAUGAUUGAUUAAUACUGUAUUGUACAUGAUAUGCUUUAUUAAUAUCUGUUGCAUGGGAUUGGGGUAUUGAUGGAGGAAGUAUUGAAAGUGGUUCAUCCACGUACUGGAGGCUUUGCCUCAACUUACUGAUAUUUGAGCAGCGUUGCUGCAACUGUGGAGUGUAGGGCUGGGUGGGUUGAGAUAUUCCCCACAUGGAGUGUAGGGCUGGUACGGGGCAGUGUAGCGGUUGGUGGGUUGAGUAGUCUCCCCAGAUGGGUUUGCAUGCAUUACUACUAUUGUUACCUAUGUUACUGAACUGGGCCUAUGGGCCACACUGUUAUGUAAAAAGGGGCUAAGGCCUUGCUAUUGUAUUCUGAAAAGGGCUUCGAUCCACUGUGUAUUGUUAUCUGAAUGGGGCUUAGGCCCAAUGGGAUCGAGCUGAUUUGGGCUUUGGAUGGGUUUCUGUAUACACUGAGUUUUCCCAAACUCACCCCCUUUUCUUCCAUCCUUGCAGGUGAGCCCUAGUUGGUGGACUUGGAGCUGGGCGGGAUUCGGAGUGGCCACACGUUUUCUGCAAAUUCGUUUUCUUCUGGUGAAUUAGAUUUUCCAUAUUUUCAUUUAUGGUUUUGGGUUUUUUUGUAAUAAGGCCGCUAAUUAUUUUUAUGGUUUGGGUUGUUUCUUUAUUAUUUAAUUCUAUUAUGUUAAAACUGAACUAUGAUAACUAACGAAAUAGAUUAGCUCUAGGACGCGUUUUCAAAAACAUUAAGUGAUUUCAAAAUAACAUGAAUACGAGUAAGACUUCCGCUAAGCAAACGUUUUCAACCUUAAUCAUUUUCUUAAGAUGGACCUAACCAAACGAUUUUCUUAAAAUUAUACGAGAUGUUAGAGUGUGGCAAUGGCGGUGUGCAUGUCUAGGAUUGGAUCCGAAGGGAGCUUGCUACUUAAGCAGUUCGACGGACUCACCUCCUCUUCUUCCUGGUUUCCUACCUGGUGCACAGCUUCCAUUCACUUUAACUUACUUUUAAAAGUGUCUUUUACAACACCAACUAAGUUUUUCAACUAAGUAAUACGGAAUGUUUUGAACGCUUCGAUGUGGCGCAUCAGAUCCGAUCAUAACGUCUAGGCCGGGUUUGGGGUGUUACACCUUCACUUAGCACCACUCAUGUGACCUAGCUCGAUUGUACACAUAAUUUUAACUCUCUUGUACACAUGGUGAACACUGAGUACCACCCAUGUGACCUAGCCAGUUUAUCUCGUAGCUCUCUUGUCUACAUGGUGUCCUUCACCUAGAACCACGCAUGCGACCUAGCUACAUAUAUCCCGUAGCUCUCUUGUCUACAUGGUGUACACAUAGUAUCACCCAUGUGACCUAGUUACAUCUUAAUGUCUCGUAGCUCUCUUGUACACAUGAUGUGCACUCAGCACCAUACAUGUAACCUAGCUACAUACCAUCUGUAUCAUCCAAUCUUUCCGAAGGUUCAACCGAGAUUUCUCUCUCUUUCUAAUACUUGAUUCCGUACUUCCAAUAGUCAAUUAUGAUUCAAAAAUCAGCUACAAUACAUAAAAUAUGCUGAAAUACAAAAACAUAAUAAAGAUAAUGUAUUAUUUACAUACAAACUUACAUACUUUCUUAUUUCCAUGUUGAAUUAAUAUUGAACAUUUA